AUACGUAGGGUGCGAGCGUUGUCCGGAAUUACUGGGCGUAAAGAGCUCGUAGGUGGUUUGUCGCGUCGUCUGUGAAAUUCCGGGGCUUAACUCCGGGCGUGCAGGCGAUACGGGCAUAACUUGAGUACUGUAGGGGAGACUGGAAUUCCUGGUGUAGCGGUGAAAUGCGCAGAUAUCAUGAGGAACACCGGUGGCGAAGGCGGGUCUCUGGGUAGUAACUGACGCUGAGGAGCGAAAGCAUGGGUAGCGAACAGGAUUAGAUACCCUGGUAGUCCAUGCCGUAAACGGUGGGCGCUAGGUGUAGGGGUCUUCCACGACUUCUGUGCCGUAGCUAACGCAUUAAGCGCCCCGCCUGGGGAGUACGGCCGCAAGGCUAAAACUUAAAGGAAUUGACGGGG
rnacentral:rRNA from 1 species